UAUUCCAUAAUAUUCAAUCAUCACAAAUAACCUAUUUCCAUCCACAAAAACUUUAAAUAAAAUUUCAUAAAUAAAUUUUGAAAAAAAAUCAAUUUCAGGGAUAUUCAAAAUUUCAAAAUUGUUGACCCAAAAAUCAAUGAAAAUUCUUGAAACAUAUAUAAAUAGAAUUCCACACAUCAUGCAAGAUCUAUGAAUUUAUUGUAUCAUUUUACCAUCAUAUUUUGU
rnacentral:lncRNA from 1 species